ensembl:lncRNA
UGGGGUCUCUUUUGGGGUCCCUAUGGGGUCACAUUGGGGUCACUUUUAGGGUCCCUUUUGGGGUCACUUUUGGGUUCUCUUUGGGGUCACUUUUUCGAGUCCCUUUUUGGGUCCCUUUUGGGGUCCCUUUUGAGGUCGCUUUUGGGUCUCAUUGGGGUCACUUUGGGGUCUCUUUGGGGUCCCUUUUGGGGUCAAUUUUAGGGUCCCUUUGGGGUCUCUCUUGGGGUCUCUUUUGGGGUCACUUUUAGGGUCCCGUUUGGCGUCCCGUUUGGGGUCACUGUUGGGGUCCCAUUUGGGGUCACUUUUCGGGUCACUUUUGGGGUCUCAUUGGGGUCACUUAGAGGUCCCUUUUCAGGUCACUUUUAGGGUCACAUUGGGGUCUCUUUUAGGGUCCCUUUUGGGGUCGCUUUUGGGGUAUUUUGGGGUCCCUUUUGGGGUCACCUUUGGGGUCUCUUUUGGGGUCUCAUGGGGGCCACUUUGGGGUCACGUUGAGGUCACUUUUGGGGUCACACUGGGGUCCAUUUUGGGGUCACUUUAGGGGUCACUUUUAGGGUCCGUUUUGGGGUCCCUCUUGGGGUCUCUUUGGGGUCCCUAUGGGGUCACAUUGGGGUCUCUUUUAGGGUCACUUUUAGGGUCCCUUCUGGGGUCUCUUUGGGGUCACUUUUGGGGUCUCUUUUGGGGUCCCUAUGGGGUCACUUUUGGUGUCCCUUUUGGGGUCCCUUUUAGGGUCCCUUUUGGGGUCUCUUUGGGGUCCCUUUUAGGGUCCCUUUUAGGAUCCCUUUUGGGGUCACUUUUGGAGUCCCUUUUGGGGUUGCUUUUGGGGUCUCAUUGGGGUCACUUUGGGGUCACUUUGGGGUCCCUUUUGGGGUCACUCACACUUUCCUGCAGUGGGGACAUCGUGCCAAGGUGCGAUCCGUGAAUUCCGUCCACUGUGGGGGAAAUUUUAGGGUCAUUUGGGGGAGGAUUUGGGGGUCAUGGGGUCAAUUUGGGAUCAUUCGGGGUCAUUCCGGGUCACAUUGGGGUCAUUUGGGGUCAUUGGGGACAUUUGGGGUCAUUUGGGGCCAUUUAGGGUCACAUUGGGGCCAUUUGGGGCCAUUUGGGGUCAUUUGGGGCCAUUUGGGGUCACAUUGGGGCCGUUUGGGGUCAUUUGGGAACAAUUGGGAUCAUUGGGGCCAUUUGGGGUCACAUUGGGGUCAUUUGGGGUCAUUAGGGCCAUUUAGGGUCACAUUGGGGACAUCUGGGGUCAUUGGGGCCAUUUGGGGUCACAUUGGGGACAUUUGGGGUCAUUGGGGCAAUUUGGGGCCAUUUUGGGGUCACAUUGGGGUCAUUUGGGGUCACUGGGGCCGUUUGGGGCCACUUGGGGUCAUUUAGGGUCACAUUGGGGCCAUUGGGUGCCAUUUGGGGACAGAUUGGGGUCAUUUGGGGUCAUUGGGGCCAUUUGGGGUCACAUUGGAGUCAUUUGGGGUCAUUGGGGCCAUUUGGGGACAGAUUGGGGUCAUUUGGGGUCAUUGGGGCCAUUUGGGGCCAUUUAGGGUCACAUUGGAGCCAUUUGGGGCCGUUUGGGGUCAUUUGGGAACAAUUGGGAUCAUUGGGGCCAUUUGGGGUCAUUUGGGGUCAUUGGGGUCAUUUGG